rnacentral:lncRNA from 1 species
UUUCAGUAAAGUUGGGCAGCGAGCCUUAACGAAGCGAGGGCUGUUAUCACCUCUCCUUAGCCCUUUAAGUGCAGCAGGCUCUUUGGUGUCUCUCGCUGAAUGCCGCUUUGUUAAUUGCGACGGUAAACAGGACACAGCGCUGACCAUCGCACUUACCACAGAACCGCUGGGUUUGGGAAAGGAGCCUGGGUCCAGCGGGAGUCACACAUGAAGGAGGGUUCGUAGAAGUACUCAGCAUUUCCUGGACUUGCUUCUAUCAUUUAAAAUGUAUUGCAUACCUUGAAGUGAAUGUAAUGGCUGGCUUAAUUGGAGAUAACUUCACUGAAGUGGCCGUGGUUACCAUUUAUGUCAGCGGUGAAUGUGCCCUUUAACGCUGUGCCCCUCAGCUUUUUCUGGAGCCUUGGCCAUAUCUGUUCAAGAUCACGUGUUUAUGCCACAUCAGUGCAAACUUGCUGUUUUUCCUACCUCAGAUCAGGACAGGAACAAACAUACCAUCAAAACCGGAUGACAGAAGUAUUUAAGAGAAGAUGCUGA